rnacentral:tmRNA from 1 species
GGGGACGUUUUGGAUUUGACAGGACGUUCGGUUGAGAUAGAUUGCGAGUCCGAGCGCUGUUCUCGGUUAUCAACGAGCAAAACAAAUUAAAUGCUAACAAUGUAAUUAAAGCAGACUUCUCUAGAGCACAAGCUUUAGCAGCGUAAGUCGCUAAUUAUAGCUACUUGUAGAGCCCAGCUUGCCGGUUCUAUGGGUCCAUUAUGCAAGACGCAGUGCAUCAAUGCGAUGUAGAUGCAUCAAGCUAACAUCGCAAGGUUUAGAGUUUCCUUCAAAUAAAACCUAGGACUGAUUUAUAGGGUUCUGAUUUUUUCCUAAAUCAGUUGAGCUAAUAAAAAUCUACACUCGUAGAAGUUUAUCAAGAUCCGUUUUGGACAGGGGUUCGAUCCCCCUCGUCUCCA